UACGGGGGGGGCAAGCGUUGUUCGGAAUUACUGGGCGUAAAGGGUGCGUAGGCGGUUCGCUAAGUUGGAUGUGAAAACUCUGGGCUUAACCCAGAGCCUGCAUCCAAUACUGACGAGCUAGAGUUCUGGAGGGGGUAGCGGAAUUCCUGGUGUAGCGGUGAAAUGCGCAGAUAUCAGGAAGAACACCCGUGGCGAAGGCGGCUCUCUGGGACGGUACUGACGCUGAGACGCGAAAGCGUGGGGAGCGAACAGG
rnacentral:rRNA from 1 species